CAGUCGAACGGACUCAUAUUGAAACCUAGUGAUUUAUGAGUUAGUGGCGGACGGGUGAGUAACGCGUGGAUAACCUGCCGUAUACCGGGGGAUAACACUUAGAAAUAGGUGCUAAUACCGCAUAAGCGCACGGCUCCGCAUGGGGCAGUGUGAAAAACUCCGGUGGUAUACGAUGGAUCCGCGUCUGAUUAGCUAGUUGGCGGGGUAACGGCCCACCAAGGCAGCGAUCAGUAGCCGGCCUGAGAGGGUGGACGGCCACAUUGGGACUGAGACACGGCCCAAACUCCUACGGGAGGCAGCAGUGGGGAAUAUUGCACAAUGGGGGAAACCCUGAUGCAGCGACGCCGCGUGAGUGAAGAAGUAUCUCGGUACGUAAAGCUCUAUCAGCAGGGAAGAAAAUGACGGUACCUGACUAAGAAGCCCCGGCUAACUACGUGCCAGCAGCCGCGGUAAUACGUAGGGGGCAAGCGUUAUCCGGAUUUACUGGGUGUAAAGGGAGCGUAGACGGCAGCACAAGUCUGGAGUGAAAUCCCGGGGCUUAACCCCGGAACUGCUUUGGAAACUGUGCGGCUGGAGUGCAGGAGGGGUAAGCGGAAUUCCUAGUGUAGCGGUGAAAUGCGUAGAUAUUAGGAGGAACACCGGUGGCGAAGGCGGCUUACUGGACUGUAACUGACGUUGAGGCUCGAAAGCGUGGGGAGCAAACAGGAUUAGAUACCCUGGUAGUCCACGCCGUAAACGAUGAUUACUAGG
rnacentral:rRNA from 1 species